GCCAACGGCCAUACCACAUUGAAAACACCGGUUCUCGUCUGAUCACCGAAGUUAAGCAACGCUGGGUUUGGUUAGUACUUGGAUGGGUGACCGCCUGGGAAUACCAAAUGCUGUUGUCU
rfam:Macrostomum lignano uti_cns_0011447, whole genome shotgun sequence.